UGCCUCCAGUAGGGGGAGUUCAUUAGCUCCAGCUGCGUCAAGCAGAGAAAUGUUUGGUGUCAUUGAAGUAAAUGAAUCCCACUGUUUUCAGAUCACUCAGCCGGCAGUGGGCCAAUGCUGUCGCUAUGGCGCCAGGUCAUUUAAUGUGGUUUCGCUCGUGACGAAACCGAGGGAAGUAGGACGACAUUGACUGGAGUGUAAACGUGAAGAGUCAUGAGCCGUUCAAGGAAAACAAAGCGACACCAGCAGCAGAGGAACUGAGGUGAUGGAUCAUCAAUUUGAGGCUCAACAGCGAUGGCUACUCAAGUGGCUCUUAGACCAACACAUGAGGGAGUAAUGGAAUAAGAAAAAGCAGCCGGAGUGAGCUCAGAGCUGCAAGCAACAGACCGCACACUUCAGUGACCAACGUUUUUGUUCAAAUGUGACUUUGUUUGUUUGCGCUCUAAGCAGAUACACCAGUUGCUCUGCUGUUGUAUUUCUGACAAAGUGGCUGCUCAGCAAGUGUUUUCUGUUGUAUUAAACCUUGUCAGGGUAACGAUAGAUGUCACUUGAAGUCUUAAAGAAAACAAUAGAAAAAAUGUAUUCUUAUCUGAAAAUAAGUUGUUUUAUUAAAAACAUUCUAAUAUAGUGUCACUAUUUUUCAAUCACAAUAUGAUGAAAACGGUAAAGUUACAUGAAUUUGCUUCAUACCAGAUGUGGUAUCUCUUAGUUCAAUCUAAUAAAUGUUUUGUAUGCCAACUUA